UCGGUAUCAUAUUCGCCCGUGUCUGAGAACCUGCAAUUAGGCGAGCACCCGACUGAUCACGUCAUAUAUGGCCUAUAUACAAUGGAAGAAAACGACGCGGCCCCCUGGAUGGCUGGACCUCAUCCAUCCAUGCCUUUAUUCCAAGGAGCAAAGGAGGGGGAGGAGAAUCUCCAAGAAGCCACAAGAAGAGGGAGGAGAACCAGCACUCUGAACACGCAACUGAAGGAGCUCACGAGGAUUCUUCCUGCUCGCACGCCCAGCGUCGUUCCUGGUUCGGCAGGGCUCUCACCCGCGGUCGUAGUAGCCGCGCGCCGCGGAGGAGAGGAAGGCCGGCACGUCGGCGCCGGCGGCGAGGCGGACGUAGUAGUGCGCCGCCAGCGGCGACUCCGGCGGCGAGUCGUUGCGGAAGAAGGGGUUGCCGGUGGGCGACUGGCCGCCGCUGGCGAGGUGGAGGAUGGCCCGGUACAGGAACGGCAGCAGGCCCUCCAUGGUCUGCUACUUUGGUUCCGCUCGCGCACGGGCUCCGAAAGCAGAGCAACACGCACGCCAACGACGACGACGGCUACAGUUGUGUGUGUUUGGUUGGUCUGGGCGGCGAGCGCGGCUGCGGCAGGGGUUUAUGAAGGCGAUUAGCGAGACAGAGAUGUGCUCUGGCCUCUGGACUUUGACUAAUCAAUUCGACCAGAGGCGGUAGUGGGGAACAACUGGAUUAGUGAUACGGCUGCUAGAGGAGGCUGGGAGGAAAGGGAAAUGGUCAAGGAGAGGAUGCCGCGUCAACUGGAAGAGGAGUUGGAUAAUGUGCCUGUGUGGUCUGUAGACGCCUGGAGGGGAGUAUUUAUCAACCAGGACACCAGGAAGCACAGGAAUACAAGAUGCAGUAGUUUAUGCAGCAGCCGGGAAUAUUAUUUGGGUG
rnacentral:misc_RNA from 1 species